AUCCAGCUGAUGAGUCCUAAAAUAGGACGAAACACGUGUCCUGGAU
rnacentral:hammerhead_ribozyme from 1 species